UACGGUUUGACUUAAAAUAUUUUAUUUUUAGUACAAUGUUUGCCCUUUUAAAAUAAAAUCAUAUAAGGGUACCUACUCUCCAGCAACGUAUAAAAAUUGGUACCCUUUAUUUUUAACAUCAAAAAUACAAAAUAUUUAUACCUAUAAAUUUUUUUAAAAAGUUUUAAUAAAUAUUUUUUGUUGGUUUUCAUUAUUAUGGCGUAAGUUAAAAUGGUACUUAAACACCAAUAUUAAAUAUCUAAAAAAAU
rnacentral:lncRNA from 1 species